rnacentral:lncRNA from 13 species
GUGCGGCCGGCCCUCUCUGAUUGGCUGUCGCGUCAAGGUUCCACGCUGCGAUUGUGCCGUGGGCGGCAGUAGGCGCCUGCGGUGCGCAAAGUGGGGAACCGGCGUUGGGAGUUGCUGGAAGUCGGAGGCGGGGGAGCGGUCACUAGCAGUGAGCGCGGGCAGCGGCUGGGCGCAAAGGAGAGAGCAGUCCCUAGUCUAAGCCUUUCCGUCGUCCUCCGGCACCGCCAGUACCACGGACUCCACCCUGCCGCGGCCCCUCGGUGAUGCGGUGCAGCUGCCACUCGACCAGCAGGAAACCAGUAAGAAGUGGGAGGCCUCUGAGCAAACUGUAUACUGUGUAGCCACCAGCUUCUGCUUUCUCAAGGCAGAACGCUGGCCCUCAGUGCCUCUUUGUGCUUCUCUUGGUUCAGACCACUGAGGACUGCCCCUGUCCUGUCUGACUCCUGUUGUGUGUUAGCCUAUUCUCUCAUCACAGAAGGAGCUCCAGUUGAAACCAGCUCCACCCGUGAUCCUAGGAAGAGAAAGCAUCUUCUCUGGAGCUUUCCCAGUGGGUUUUGAACCUGCUCCUCCUCAGUCCAUCCAGCCAACCAGAAAUAUAAUUUCUGUGUUUGAAGAAGUCUGCUGUUGGAGAAGUCUUCCCGGAGGCAGAAAGGACAUAAGUUUGUUUUAAGGAUGCAUUUGCUUCCCUAGCCUAAAAAUCAAACAAUACAUCAAGUAAACCAAAGUUCUGUUCUCAGAUUUGGAACACAGCACUUCUGGGACUGUUUCUUGGCAGCCUCUAUAAAUACAUAUAAACUCACAUUACAGUGUCACAUAGCAGGAAAUUCUAGAAGCUAGUGGUCAGAAUUAAGAGAAAGAGCCAGAUGUAAUGUCAUGAGCCUGUAGUUUCAGCUACUCAGGGGGCUUGAGGUGGGAGAAUGUCUUUAGCUCUGGAAGCUUGAGGCAAGCCUGAGAAUAUGAGGCAAUCCUGGACAAUACAGUGAGACCCCAUCCCUUAAAAAAAAUGAAUGAAAUGAAACAAGAAGGGGAUCUGAUGUAGCUGAUUACUGAGGAAGUGCAGAAUGCAAAGAGCCUGAAAGGGGAGAUAUUUUACAGGGCAAGUGACUCAAGGCAUUUUCUGAUUGGUCUUCUCCAUGCUUUUUGCCCAGCAAGCUCCAUGGGCUUUUCACCUGAAAGCCACCAUGUCAGUGAGUAGUUAUGGGUGAAGGGUGUUCUGGGGGUCUUGGGGAAUGUGGCUAAAAUGGGCCUAUGACCUUCCCCCAAUUUAUGUUACUUGCUUCUCCUAAAUCCAUUUUCUGUGGUUGGUACCACUUAUAUUACCUCUUCACUAAGUGUCUACAUUCAUAAAGUUUCUACCAUAAAAAGAAGAAUCUGUUUUCUUUAGAAGAUCACAAAUUCUCAAGGAAUAAAACAAUGUAACAGUGAUUAAAAGGUUCA